rnacentral:lncRNA from 1 species
CUUCUGAUUGGCUGACGUUAUUUUGUUUUGAGCCCAUAGACAUAAUUAAGUCAUGUGACCGUGACGUCAUCAACGUUUUUUCAUGGUUUUCUACGGUUUAAGGUGGUACCCAACACCUGAACUAAAAUUAAUUUGGCUCGUUUAAUUUUCUUAAAAUUUUUACAAAGUAUUUACUUUGACCCUUUGACAAAAAUAUAAAAAUUUCAAAAAAUCUGAACCAACCGUUUAAUCAGAAAAAAAUACACUGGUUGUAUAGCAGUUUGAUAAACACUUAUUUUGAUCCUUGAGAAGCUCAAUAUUACCUUAUCCAUACAACGUAAUUAAAACGUUUUUCUGAUUUUACAGAGUUGUCUCCCUGUAGUGUUAGGUACCACCUUAAAAUGGAAUUUAGAAUUAAAUUAUAAGAAAUGGCUGUAAUAUUUUUUCUGUCUAUUCGAAAUAACAUAAAAAAUGUGGUGCACACUGUUAAAUAACACGCUACGCGCAUUAUUCAGUGUGCACCAAAUUUUUUAUGUUAUUU